UACGGAGGGGGCAAGCGUUGUUCGGAAUUACUGGGCGUAAAGGGCGCGCAGGCGGCUGCUCAAGUCAGGCGUGAAAGGCCUGGGCUCAACCCGGGAAUUGCGCUUGAGACUGGGCUGGCUUGAGUGCGGGAGAGGAUGGUGGAAUUCCCAGUGUAGAGGUGAAAUUCGUAGAUAUCUGGAGGAAUACCGGUGGCGAAGGCGGCUAUCUGGCCAUGUACUGACACUGAAGCACGAAAGCUAGGGGAGCAAACGGG
rnacentral:rRNA from 1 species